GGCUGGCUCCAAAGUCCCAGUCCUCUGCACCACCAUAAGCCAGAGCUGAGUGGUGAAUAGACACAGCAGUAGAAUUUUAUUCACUAACUGGGCAGGAUCAGAUUUGGGGCAGAAGUUUGUUCAUCUCUGCUCUAGACUCUUGUUUCCUCUGCCUCAGGUGAAUCUUUCAAGCCCAGCUUGACGUUAAUGGAGUCCAGCACCUUGGUGAGUGGAAAGAGCAGUCUUUAUGCACAAUAGGGUGAAUGGUUAACUAAUAAAUGUUAGUAUGUGCAGUCAAAUUGAAAUUGAACGUGGGCCUGCUGUUCCUUACCACAGAACGCUAUACUCUGUCACCCCACUUUUGCAAAAAAAAAAAAAAAAAAAGGCAAAGCUUUAUUGCUAUGCAAAUAUGCAAGAGAGGUGUUACUCAAAUUAACCUCUUUUUCCUCCUGCAUUUCCAGGGGGCAUUUGCAAGGAGAGAACUAAAGGGUAUGGUUAGAAGACCGGUAGGAGCUGGAUUUCCAAGCAAGCAGAGAAGAUUUACAGGCCUUCAUAUCCUCCUGGCACCUGGAUUUCAAGCCCUCUUUGUACCUCUUCCUUCCAGAGCAGUCUAUGAUUGGUCAUAUUUAAAACCAGCAUUAGAUUAUUUUGAAAGUAUUGGGAGCAACCUCAGACCUUGAGCACCCUGGGCUCACUCCUGCAGAGGCUCAGGAUCUCACUGGCAGAAGGCAGACUCUCCUGGGAAGUGAGUGCAUGCAACUUGCAUGGACGCUGGAUUUGGAUAAAUGAGCUGAAAGAUACAGAGCUUCGUACUGGGCUGGAUGAAUCCUCAUAGACU